ACGGAGGGUGCAAGCGUUAAUCGGAAUCACUGGGCGUAAAGCGCAUGUAGGCUGUUUGAUAAGUCAGAAGUGAAAUCCCACCGCUCACCGGUGGAACUGCCCUUGAUACUGCAUUGCUUGAGUGUGUGAGAGGAUAGCGGAAUUCCAGGUGUAGGAGUGAAAUCCGUAGAGAUCUGGAGGAACAUCAGUGGCGAAGGCGGCUAUCUGGCACAAAACUGACGCUGAGGUGCGAAAGCGUGGGGAGCAAACAG
rnacentral:rRNA from 1 species